rnacentral:misc_RNA from 1 species
AGAUUUAUGUUUUCUGUGACAUCUUUCAGUAAUGUAGAGAUCCUGCGAGUAUGACAAAUCAAUAUUCUUAAAAUAAUCUAAACCUUAAUGCUACUCCCUCCAGCUAGCUUCCCAUAUGGUCUUCUAGAUGAAGUGAUAUAAACAAGACUUGCUGAAUAAAGAAUCUUGUCAUCCAUACGAUCAAUCGGAGAGUGAAUGGAAUCUGAAAAUGCAGCUAUGAAAAAGUUACCAACCUGCAAAAUGGAGCAGAAAAACAUGAGAAUACAUGAUUGCUAGAAGAAUGUGUUCAACAUCAAAAAUAAAAUUAUAAAAAAUAAAUAAUUAAGAGUUUGCAUUCAUGAGAGAGAAUAGGACUACACAAAUCAAGCUAGUCUCAAUAAAUUUUUCUUGUAGUGUGUAGACAUAAUAGCACUACAAUACAAGAACUCAAUUAUAAGCCACUGCACAUGGAACUGACUCAACAUUCUUGUUUGAAUAUAUGUUCAUUCCAUGCAGCAUGUUUUUGAGGAUGGUUGAUCUUUGUUUAGCCAUUCUCAAGACGUAUCAUUGUUAAUAUCAUGAAACCAAUCAUCCAAUAUCUUAAAAGCACUGCAUCCCCACAAUACCCUUACUCUGAUACAAACUUUUAGCAGAAAUACAGCAGACAAAUCAAUUUCUUCCUCAAAACAUAUUAAAAAGAACUAAUAUUCAUGGAUCAUCCAACAGCACAUAAAGAAGUUCCCUAAUCAGUUCAACUCAAACAAGCAAUCCUAAUAAAGCAAGAUGAAAGCUUUAAGUUUUUUGUAAUGAGCACAAAUAGAUUCUGCUCUAAUUACAAAAGAGCAUCUUUCGAUUGAUAAAAACUUUUCUGAAAUUUAAUUCUGAGUGAUUGUCCUUUCCUCCAGACAGAUUCCAGCUAAUGAUAGUUUCAGAUGUAUGCCAUAUUUCCAAAAUUGUGCAGAUACAAGUCACAAUAGCUCCUUCAGAAUACUUUACUCAAUAGGUCAACUGUCACUACUCACUAGAAGUACAAAUAUAACCUCAUUCACCACAUGAUAACUAAUACUUGUAAAAGUCAGAUAUCUACCAGUGUGCUAAAAAAUUAUAGGAUAUUGGGAAUCUUAACAUCGUUAUGAUGUUAAAUUAUGAACCAUUAUAUGAGAAUGGAAAAAACAAAAACAAGGAAAGAGAUAGAAAAAGAUCCUCCAAGACAAAAUAAAUUUGCAAUAGCAAUUUAUUUUACUGAGGGGGAAAAAAAGAAAGAUUUUUUUUUUUGUUUUGAGUAGCUAACAAGUCAGAAGUCUCACACAGCCACAAUUCUCCAAGAACAGUUAUGCUUACACAACCAUCCUACAGAAGAACUAUGGCUUCUGCAAUGAAGAGGUAUGUUUUCUGUUGCUUAGCUAAUAAAUUCAAAAUUCUACAAGAAUGAUCAGGCUAUGGCACUAUGCAAAUAUCUCAGCAAGAAGGCAACGGCUUCUAAAAUAGAGAAUUAAAAAGAGAAUCUUGAGGAUAGUAAAAAUUUAAAAAAAAAAGUACCAAAUGGGAUUUCAGGAUGAGAUAAAUUUAUGGUUCAAUCAAGCCUAUCAACAGAAAAGGCAUCAUUCCAACACAAAUGUACAUUAAAAGUUAAAAAGGAAAUCGUUAUGACUGUAGAGAAUAGGUAAGUUAUAAUAGGCGGGAAGAGUUGUUAAGCAGUUGUAACUGAUUAGCAGAGCUGGACAAGAAGUUACAAGAAUUUGUUGGGCUAACAAUUUUGUGUAUAAUUUGUAUAUAAAGAAAAGUAAUCAACUCAAUAGAGAAUGUGUAUACAGAGAGAACAAAUUAUGAAGAGAAUCAAAAGUCCCUCUAUUAAGUUAGUUACUGUUCUUUAUAUACAAAUUAUUCAUGCACUUGUUAGCCUAACAAAUUCUUGUAACUACUUGUCCAGCUCAGCUAAUCAGUUACAACUGCUUAAAAACCUUCUCGCCUAUUAUAACUUACUUAUUCUCUACAAUAACUUCCUAAAACUUGCAGUGGCAUUAGGGUUGGAAAUUAUAUAGACUUUUAAAACUAGCUUCAAGUUUUAGAAAACAUAAUUACUACAAUUAUAUUGUAGGUAAGACACUGAAAACAUUCCCUUCCUUCAAGUAUCAUUCUUUUAAACAUCAGAGAUUGAUUAACUAAGUCUAUCUCCAUCCUAAUGCCAAUGGCAUAGCCCUUAUCUCAUAUCUUAUUUGGGUUUUGUUAAAUUUUUCUUACCUACUAGGGUUGUAUUUUCGACAAUAUACAAUCAAACUUUAUAAUAAGAUCACAGAACAUUUUUUGCAUGUCCAGUCCUUAAAUCUUCACAUAAAUGUAUUGCGGAAAUAAUUCACAUGAUUUUUCACAAUUUUCUUAAAUUGAGUGGCUGGCACCCAAAAUUCAACUAAUUAAGAUUGCACAAAUUGGAUGAGGAAACAUAAAAAGCUAAUACUUUGAUUUAAUCAUCACAAAUCAAGGUUAAAGGGAAAGAGAAAUAUAAAUACACACAAAACAAUUCUUAGAAGAAGGAAAAAUGCAAACAAAGAUCAAUUCUCAAAUUACCUAGAAGAGCAAUAUUAGUCGAUCAAUUGGACUUGGCAGCCAUCUCCUUUCUAGCUUUUCUUGCAUUCUCAUACUCAAAUUCCAACACAUUUUGUAUAUGCGAAGUAUCUUUCACAUAAAACAUCCUCCCGAAACUACUCUCCUCAAUCACAGGGAAAAAAUUAAAAAGCUUGUAAUUCACCACCCAAAACCAUGCUGCUCCCAGAAAAAUACCCAAAGUAGCACCAGCAAACACCUGCGGCACCGUAUGGUAUCCCAAGUACACCCUCGAUUGCAUGGUCAAAACCGCCAAUAACCACGGCAGGAAACACCUCGCCCACUUGUGAUUAACUUUGGUUAACCCAAUUCCUUUAAAGGUCAAUAGAGUAAAGUAGACGGCAAAGAAGAACAUGUACUGAGAGUGACUGGAUGGCCAGCCGUGCGAAUCGCACAUCUCGAGAAAGAUGCAGGUCUCGGGGCGGGCUUGCUGGACCAAUGUCUUGAUGAAGUCGCUGAUGAAAUGGGAAAUGAGGAGGCCAAGAGCGAAGAACAUGCCCUGGAGUUCGCGACGGAAGAAGAAAUGGCAAAUGAAUCCACCUAAACUUAUGAAGACCGGGACUAGCGAGAUCCAAGCUAAUAAAUGGCCUAAGUGGUCGCCCUUUUGGUACCGGACGUGGGUGAGAGUGACGGCCUUGAGUGGAGGAUGGGCCAUGGUGAUAUUGAUAAUUCUGGGUGUGGAGAAUGGCGAGAGAUCUGUGAGAUGUGGUGGUGUUUGGGUUUCGUGUUCUGUGAUUGUCCUCGAUAAUCCGUCGACGUAGAAAGUUACAUAAGGAUAAGGAUGAAGAAAAGCGAGGCCUAGGAACUAGGGAGGGAUGAGGAGCAGCCAGCAGAGGGGGG